UAACCUGCCCAAGAGACUGGGAUAACACCUGGAAACAGAUGCUAAUACCGGAUAACAACACUAGACGCAUGUCUAGAGUUUAAAAGAUGGUUCUGCUAUCACUCUUGGAUGGACCUGCGGUGCAUUAGCUAGUUGGUAAGGCAACGGCUUACCAAGGCAAUGAUGCAUAGCCGAGUUGAGAGACUGAUCGGCCACAUUGGGACUGAGACACGGCCCAAACUCCUACGGGAGGCAGCAGUA
rnacentral:rRNA from 1 species